rnacentral:snoRNA from 15 species
UAUGGAUGAAAUAUACUUAGGACGCCUUCUGAAACGAUUUUUCGUUUGUGAGAACAAAACUGGUACCUGAAC